CCCCGCGGCCUUCCCCUUCUUCGAUGCCUCCUCCUACUCAGCUACCUCUUACAUCGGCGUUUCGCGCUCAGCGGCCUCACGCUCCUAUAUUUCCUGGAAGAUGGUAAGUAUAUUUUACCUUGUUUUGGGUUGCUUUGUUCAUUGCUCAUUUGUGCAGCUAGUUAAUUAUUACUACUCCGGUGAAGCCAGGAGAUAGGAGCCCAAGCAAUUCCGUAUUUCAAAUGUCACUAGUUCUUCAUUAAAGCCCUCUUGCCUCCGUCAUUGUCAUUGAUCCCUGACAUGGCCAAACCCAUAGAAGAUGCCUCUUCGACUCCCUGCUCCGUUUCCCCUUCCCCUGCAUAUUCUCCCCUUUGUGAGCUCUAAUGUAACUUCUUCUCCCACGCAUUUAUUCUCGUUGAUGUGGAUCCUCCGGCUUCACCUCCCAUGCACAUAAAGGCACAUAACUAUCUUUUUGUUAAGCUACAGUUUUCAAGAAAAUUAUUUUUGUUUGUUCUAGCAUCCUAUCAGUAUAUGGUUACUUGUAUUUGUCUAGCUUUAGUGUGUUGAUUUAUGUGUGCAGCUAUGUUUGUCGACCGGUAAACGAUCGGUAUAUCUUUCUGUUUCCUGUCUCUUUGUUGUUACAUGCUUUUGAAUACUACAAAGAAAUUAAUAAGAACUGAUAUUUACGGAUGCACCUAGAUCUUAUUGUUAAAAUGUCUGUAAGUUGUGCCACUGAUUUGGUGAUCAUUACACAUGCUUGUCAAUUAUAAAUAAAAAAAAUAGGUAGAACAACUAUGCAUGCUUCAGUUAUGGUAGCACUGAACAUAUUCAAUUCUCUUGACCUUCAUCAACAAUAAUUUGUCACAUGAUGAUUUGCUUCAUACGGAUUAGCCAGAAAAUAUGUUUAUUGCUCCAGCUAUGGUUUCAUGUCCUGUCUCCUUUAGAUCUGGAUUUUUUUUUCUAAGUCUUUUUUUUACCCGAGUUUAAGUCUUCACUAAGCAUCAAUUUUAGAAUAUUUGGAGCAAUGUCACGAAAGUUUACAAGAAUACAAUGUUUUUACUGGAGUUACCAUCUCCAUUGGUGAUGGGAUUUUCUGCUAUUUAUCCUCCAAGUCAUUGGCAGAAAAAGAUUCUCAGGCAUCAGUUUUUUUUCUCAUAUAUGGAGCCAUAUGUGUGGCUAUAAGCAUAAUGUUUAUGCUAAUUUUCAACCGGAAGAAGAAGUUGGAGAAAAGUUAUUGGUUAUAUGUAGAAAGGUCGAGUGUUAUGUGUUUGUUUAUUGGUCUCAUUCUUAUUCUCCGAGUCUUUCUUUCACAGAUGGAACAGAUCAAUUAUUACAUAGGAAGCCUAAUCGUCUUCGUAUAAUUGGCCAUUUCAUGAAACAGAGGGUAGAAAAUGCAUUCCUUUAAACCUCGAAUGUACGAUAUUUGUGGGCAUGUGCAGAUUGAAGCUAACGCAGUGUUUGUCUUAAACCUCGAAUGCAUAUGAUACACAUAUGCUAUGGGCCUUGGGACCCGUAAUGUUUUUGAGAGCACAUAAUGUUUGUCCUUGUUUUUAUCAGGUUU
rnacentral:lncRNA from 1 species